AGCGAACGCUGGCGGCAGGCUUAACACAUGCAAGUCGAGCGGGCCCUUCGGGGUCAGCGGCGGACGGGUGAGUAACGCGUGGGAACGUGCCUUCUGGUCUGGAAUAACCCUGGGAAACUAGGGCUAAUACCGGAUACGCCUUUUGGGGAAAGGUUUACUGCCGGAAGAUCGGCCCGCGUCUGAUUAGCUAGUUGGUGGGGUAACGGCCUACCAAGGCGACGAUCAGUAGCUGGUCUGAGAGGAUGAUCAGCCACACUGGGACUGAGACACGGCCCAGACUCCUACGGGAGGCAGCAGUGGGGAAUAUUGGACAAUGGGCGCAAGCCUGAUCCAGCCAUGCCGCGUGAGUGAUGAAGGCCUUAGGGUUGUAAAGCUCUUUUAUCCGGGACGAUAAUGACGGUACCGGAGGAAUAAGCCCCGGCUAACUUCGUG
rnacentral:rRNA from 1 species